AUGGCCAAGCUCAGUGUUAUUGAAAAGAUAAAGUUAUAUGAAAUAACACAUGCAGAAGUCUGGUCUGUGAGAAUCAGACAUGUAGGAAGGGAUUCAAAUCUAUUGGUAGCCAUCAACAUCAUCCCCAUCAUCACCAGUAUCAACAGCAUCAGCAUCAGCACCACCAUCAUCACCACUGCCAACGGCAUCAGCAUCAGCACCACCAUCAUCACCAGUGUCAACGGCAUCAGCAUCAGCACCACCAUCAUCACCGUGGCCAACGGCAUCAGCAUCAGCACCACCAUCAUCACCACUGCCAACGGCAUCAGCAUCAGCACCACCAUCAUCACCACUGCCCAACGGCAUCAGCAUCAGCACCACCAUCAUCACCACUGCCAACGGCAUCAGCAUCACCACCACCAUCAUCACCCCUGCCAACGGCAUCACCACCACCAUCAUCACCACUGCCAACGGCAUCAGCAUCAGCACCACCAUCAUCACCGCUGCCAACGGCAUCAGCAUCAGCACCACCAUCAUCACCACUGCCAACGGCAUCAGCAUCAGCACCACCAUCAUCACCACUGCCAACGGCAUCAGCAUCAGCACCACCAUCAUCACCACUGCCAACGGCAUCAGCAUCAGCACCACCAUCAUCACCACUGCCAACGGCAUCAGCAUCAGCACCACCAUCAUCACCACUGCCAACGGCAUCAGCAUCAGCACCACCAUCAUCACCACUGCCAACGGCAUCAGCAUCAGCACCACCAUCAUCACCACUGCCAACGGCAUCAGCAUCAGCACCACCAUCAUCACCACUGCCAACGGCAUCAGCAUCAGCACCACCAUCAUCACCACUGCCAACGGCAUCAGCAUCAGCACCACCAUCAUCACCACUGCCAACGGCAUCAGCAUCAGCACCACCAUCAUCACCACUGCCAACGGCAUCAGCAUCAGCACCACCAUCAUCACCACUGCCAACGGCAUCAGCAUCAGCACCACCAUCAUCACCACUGCCAACGGCAUCAGCAUCAGCACCACCAUCAUCACCACUGCCAACGGCAUCAGCAUCAGCACCACCAUCAUCACCACUGCCAACGGCAUCAGCAUCAGCACCACCAUCAUCACCACUGCCAACGGCAUCAGCAUCAGCACCACCAUCAUCACCACUGCCAACGGCAUCAGCAUCAGCACCACCAUCAUCACCACUGCCAACGGCAUCAGCAUCAGCACCACCAUCAUCACCACUGCCAACGGCAUCAGCAUCAGCACCACCAUCAUCACCACUGCCAACGGCAUCAGCAUCAGCACCACCAUCAUCACCACUGCCAAUGGCAUCAGCAUCAGCACCACCAUCAGCACCACCAUCAUCAACACCAGCAUGGUCAUCGCCACCACCACCACCACCAUCUACACCAUCAGAGUCACCACCACGUGAGGCACCGGACGGACACUCGUAAGCUACCCAUGACCAGCUCAGAUAUUCAGCAUCAUAGAGGAUACACCCAAGGGAAAAUAAUCCCAGGAGAAACAGCUGCAGUAGUACAUGAGCUAUAA
ensembl:lncRNA